UAGGGAAUCUUCCACAAUGGACGCAAGUCUGAUGGAGCAACGCCGCGUGAGUGAAGAAGGUCUUCGGAUCGUAAAGCUCUGUUGUUGGUGAAGAAGGAUAGAGGCAGUAACUGGUCUUUAUUUGACGGUAAUCAACCAGAAAGUCACGGCUAACUACGUGCCAGCAGCCGCGGUAAUACGUAGGUGGCAAGCGUUGUCCGGAUUUAUUGGGCGUAAAGCGAGCGCAGGCGGAAUGAUAAGUCNGAUGUGAAAGCCCACGGCUCAACCGUGGAACUGCAUCGGAAACUGUCAUUCUUGAGUGCAGAAG
rnacentral:rRNA from 1 species